AAACUGCGAUACGUAGUGUGAAUUGCAGAAUUCCGCGAAUCAUCGAGUCUUCGAACGCAAAUUGCGCCCUCGGUUUGAAGCCGGGGGCACGUCUGUCUGAGCGUCCGUU
rnacentral:rRNA from 1 species